UGGUUUUGGUUGGACAGUUGUAGGUAUCAAUGUUAUUAUGGAGAAAUGAGAGAAUGGGUGUAGUAGUGAGAUUCUGCUGGGUCCCAGCACAUUCAGGUGUGGAAGGAAAUUAAAUUGGUGACCAGUUAUCUAAAAGAGCUUUGAAACAAGAUAUAAUUGAUAUUAAUGUUCCACUGGGUAGAGGUGAGGCCAAAUGUAAGAUCAGAGACAUUUUGAUAGAUGUGUGGCAGAAGAGAUGGGACUCUGAGAACAAGGGACGGCAUUUAUAUGUCCUCUAAAGGUCGGUGGACCAAGGAUCAAAGGUCAGAUUAGGAAGGAAGAGGUGGUGUUUACUCGAUUGUGUUUAGGACAUUGUACAUUGAACUGGUCCUUACAUCUGGUUGGCAGCAMGUGAAUGGUUUGUGUCUGGAGGGUAUGGUCAAUGAAACGGUGGAGCAUGUGUUGUUAUAUUGUUGUAAGGAUGUUGAAGAGAGGGAAAGAUUGAAGUGUAGGGUCAUUGAGGUUGGACGGGGUUGGGAAGGUGGAAGGGAUUUGGGGGAUGGGGGAGGGUCUAUUAGAAGUUAGUAGGACUCUUUUUUAUUUUCUCAGAAGUUCUGAGUUAGGCAGGAGGAUUUAGAGUGGUGUAAACCGUGAUUGGACACACUCCAGCACAGUAGGUGGCGCCAUGCACCUUUAACGUUGGUUUGAGGACCGCCAUUAUAUCAUAGAAGAAGAAGUUGGUCUGUGAGUGUUUUGUGGUUCCUGAGGAGGGCUACUAUUCUUUUUUCUUUUGGUUUUCAAGUAUUUUCUGAAUUUAUUAAAGCCAAAGCUAAAGCUACCCUAAACAAUUCAAUAUAUCAGUCAAUAUAUUUUCUCUGUGAUUUGUUGUUUUCCCGUCAACCGUUCCAUCGCAUCUUAACCGUGUUACCGGGCGGGCACUAGGACCCGGGGGAGGCUGCUGCUGCAGAGGCUGCUGCACCGGUAGUGACGUCAGUCCUACUUGUAGCUCAUUGUGGUCAACGUCAGCUGUGGCUCGAGACUGCGAGCUAACGGUUAACGGAGAGGAAAAGACUCUGACAGGACACAUUCAUGUAGAUAGGCUAUGAUGGCAAUUUGUGGAGGGAGGAGAGUAGAGCAGGACGCAAGAGG